UCUCUCACCCUCUCAGCCAUGAAUCAAGAACCACUCAAAACCCUAGAAGACGAAGCUCCAGCGGGCAAUGGCGGAGAUGGAUUUCGAGCCCCGUCGCAUCGUGAUCCAUUCACCUGUGUGUCUUUCUCUCUUCUUCGAUUUCUCGGAUGGGAAACGAGACCCGCUCGGAGCUCGAAACCCUAGGAGACGAGGCUCUGAUGGCGGAGGUGGAUCUCGCUUCUUCGUCGUUUCCCAAGUACGCUUCAAGAAUGCGCCACUUAUUACGUCCGAUGGAUCUGUAAUAUCUUGGAGAUUAAUUUCAAGAAAUCCCGAUCUGUGAUAUCUUGGAGAUUAGCCGUAUCGGAUUGUUUCGCCUGUUGUGGAUUUGUUGAUCGGGACCGGAAACAGUUUUCUUCUUGCUCUUACUUUUGCGCACGUCAACAGAGUCAUUGGAUUAGGUUUAAGAGGCACCGCAGAAAUGGAGGUUGGAAUUUGGAUCCAUAUUCACAGAUGAGUAAGCUUCUCCUCUCUUUUGUUUUCUUCUUUCCCUGUAUUCAACAUUCCUCGAUGAACCUGCAUUUAGGAUAUAUCUUGCUAAUAUUCAACUAUAAUCAUUUUUAUGUGAAGAUGUUUACCUAUGUCUUGCGUUUUGCUGCUUUUUUCAAGAAAAAAUAAGUAAAUGUUUUUGUGAUUUUCUUAUUUAUUGUUUUUAUUAUUAUAAAAAUCUGCACUAUCUAUUUUAUAGUGCUAAUUUACGUUCUGAAAUAUGAGAUUGAACUGCUGAAGCAGAUUCCUAUGAUAAUCUUUUGAAUCAAUAGAAAGUAUAUGGAUGUUUGCAGAAUUAUAAUGCAACUGCACAGUUAUGGAGCAACUCAUGUUAUCAAGGAGCGAACAAAGCUUUCUUGAAGACUAAACCUAAAUUAUGCAUAAAAAACCUGUGUAAACCCACCCGUUCUGUCCCAUAAGUUUCAACCUUACCUACAUUCAAAGCGAAUCUUGAUUCAUAUUGUAAAAUUUGGAAAUUCCAAAACCCUAUGAUCUAAUGUGAAAACUGAUCCUGCUCUGCUCUUGUUUGCUUUCAGCAGUCGAUUGCAUUGAGGUGGGCACCUUUUCUUGGACACUUCACAGUUAUGAAGUUUUCUAAAGCCAGUCUCUGAAGCCAGCAGUAUACAAUGUUUUAAAGCCAGCAGAAUACCAUAAAGUUUUCUAAGAGUUUUGAAAAGUGCUAUAAUAUACAAUUUUUGGAAUGGGGACAUAUUCUCGAUGGAAAAUAUUUGUUUCCUCCAGGAGAUCUGUGUGCAAGAUUUAUAACAUGAAAUACUCUGAUGUUUUUCCUAGGAAUCUCCUAGCUGCUUUGAGCUUGAGUUGUCUGACAUUUUAAAAAAGAGCUUCUUUGGAGUUCAAAGCAGCACGCAAGGUACUUUGAAUGUUGGGUACCUUGCAAGACCAAAUUAUAUGCUUGUUAAUAGCUUUUGCCAACUGUUUUCUCUAGCGUUAAAAGCUAGAACAUGGACUUAGAUGGGAAAAUUGAAGCAAUGAGUAUGUCAAGUAUUCACAUCUAUCAAUCUGAGUAAAAAUAUAAAAUUCUAGUUAACGAACUUCCAUUAUUCUAGUUGGAUAUUUGCCAAUUUAAAGUAUAAAGGUAUUUUCUCUCCGUUAUUGUGAGCAACAUCAUGUCAUUUUUUAUGUUUGCACCUUUUUGGUGAUUUUGACUCAUAUGGAUAUUUUUGGGUUAACCUUCAUGUGGAUACAUUGUAAGACUUGAAACAUUUCACCCAAUGAAGUGUUGUUGUAUAUGGUCGAAGAGAACCCUAAACUUUCAUCAAUUUCUCUAAUGAUUUUAUAUUGAAAACUUAUGGAGUAUCUGUUGAAUUUCUUAUUCAGGGUCAAGUUAGCGAAAGCUUUAUUUUAAUCUUGAUCUUUAUCAGAGGUUGAGAUAUGGAUGCCUCUCUUUCUAUUAAGAUGCUGACAGUUUAUCACUAAGCCUCCUGGUAAGCAAGAAAACUUACAAAAUAUAGUGAUGAAUAUUAAUCCUUUGAUCCACGAAUAAUGGUUUGUUCUUGUAUGUUAUUCAAACACCAUAUUCACUAUUCACUUUUGUCAUGAAAGCCUUCUAAUCUUAGGUGAUAUUUUACUUGUUGUAGUUCGUGCCUAAACUUAAUCAUCAUGCUGGGAAAUCUUCGUUGGAUCUCUUGGCAGGGAGCUGACUCUGAAAAGGAUUUGGGAAGAGCUCAAAAGUUAGAUUCUCUGUAUCGUGGGAUUAGUGAGAUCCACAGUAGUGUCCAGCCAUUCUGGUGAGUUUCAACCAACCGCAUUGAGUUAUCUUUUUGAUCAUUUAACAUAUGAUUUUAGAACCAAACAGUCAUGUGAUAAGACCAAACAAGGCACUUCAAGGUAAGUUUUUUCCCCCCUCCUGCUAAAAGGCAGGGACGUGUUGCAUGCAUAGAUACAUAUCUGCAAAAUACACACACAUUCACACACAUACAUACAUAAAUAUGUCAUACAUACAUAUGUACGUACAUGAAUACAUUACAUUAUGUUGUUCAUAUUUCUUUCCUUCAAUUAUGGGACAUGCUGUUAUGCUUUUGAUGAAUGGCAAUGCAAGCUAUGGGAGAUGCUUCCUAGAUAAGUCAUGAAUAAAGGUGUCCUUGGUUAGCUUAAAAAGAGCACAGGUUUGUGAACAGGUUGAAAGUUUUCAACCUGUUUCAUAUUUGGUGCUGGAAAUGGUUUACGAUCUCUUGCCCCUCAACUAACCCUGAGCCUGCGUAAAUCUUUUAAGUAAAUUUUCUCAUUCUAUAAUUAAUCAAAGAUUUAAGUGUCGUGGUACAGGAUUAUGCAAAAAACUUGCUAGCACGGUACUGUACAAUGCUUGCCGGAUCAUGUAGAUGCAUACCAGUCACAAAAAAUAUAUGUUAUCAACACAUAAUAGCAUGAAAUAUUUAUAUUCUUUAGCAGUAAAAUAUUCUAAUUGCUAAUUAUAUAUUUUUUAUUAAAUUUUUUGAAUUUAUUGAGAAAAUUAUUUAUUAAUUUAAAAAAAGAGAGUUUUGAGCAGUGCUAUCGACACGGGAGCUGUAUCGUGUCGAUAUUUUAUUGGCACGAUACGGCACUGUAGAUACGACACUGUAGAUAUGGCCAGUGCCGAUGGACACUUAAUUCUUGCAGUUAACUGAAAUUCUUGUUUAUUAUAAACUUAAAGAUGUAAUUGUUGUAGUGGGUGCUACAUGUUUUAACUUUUAAGUGGAUUGCCGAGUAGGGACAGGGAGGGAAUUUUUUUUUUUUUUUUUUCCGUAGUUAACCUCAAAGAGAGCACUAUGUCACGGACAAAAUGUUUUCCGCUGACUUCUCUUGGACAGUGGUCCCUUUCUCCGAAGGAGCGUUCUAUCGGAGGUUUUGGCUUGGAUCUUCUAGAAGCUUCUACGCGGAUCUCGAGACUGAUGGUGCGGGUACCGGAGGGUCAAGAGUCCCUUAGAAUUUCUAGGUGGAUAAUAAAUGUAAGACUCUUAGAGUUUCUAUGCUUAUUUAUUAGGACCCUUGGGAGACCGUGUGGCCUCCCCUUUUGGCUUGUAGUUUUGUGCCACUUUGCAUCUAUCUAUUUGCUUUAUGGGCGGCGAGUGGCCUUUAAAUAGUUGUGGCCUCCACCCCUCUUAUUUCAGAAUUCUCAUUUGUAUUCUCAAGUUCAAAGUAAUAGAAGAGCUUUCUUCA